UGAGGAAUAUUGGUCAAUGGACGGAAGUCUGAACCAGCCAUGCCGCGUGAAGGAUGAAGGCGUUCUGCGUUGUAAACUUCUUUUAUCAGGGAAGAAACCUAUUUUUUCUAAGAUAGUUGACGGUACCUGAGGAAUAAGCACCGGCUAACUCCGUGCCAGCAGCCGCGGUAAUACGGAGGGUGCAAGCGUUAUCCGGAUUUACUGGGUUUAAAGGGUGGGUAGGCGGGCAUUUAAGUCUGGGGUGAAAUCUCCGAGCUCAACUCGGAAACUGCCUUGGAUAGUAUUUGACUUGAGUUAUGUUGAGGUUGGCGGAAUAUAACAUGUAGCGGUGAAAUGCAGAGAUAUGUUAUAGAACACCGAUUGCGAAGGCAGCUGACUAAGCAUAUAUUGACGCUGAGGCACGAGAGCGUGGGUAGAGAACA
rnacentral:rRNA from 1 species